UUUACACGCUCAUCCCCUUAGACAACCUUAUUGACUUUAGAAGAAAUUAAUGGUGAUGAACGAUUAAGAUUGAGUUGUUUGAAUGUUGGGUUGGCUGAUUUUAUAGCCAUAAACUAAUUGCAUUUUCAGCUUUUCCUCAACACUUUUUGUUUCUUAAAUUUCCACCAUAAACUUUGAUAAUUCUUUAAAUUACAACAUGUACUUUCGGAUUCAUCCUUAAACAUACAUUUCCAAUUGAACCGGUCAUUAAACCGGAAUUAACCACAAAUUCGCGUUUACUGUACCGCGAUUGCGAUUUACCCGAUUAAUCACUUAUAUCCGUUAAGAAAAGGGUUGGCUGAUUUUAUAGCCAUAAACUAAUUGCAUUCUCUGCUUUUCCCCCCACACUUUUUGCUCCUGAAAUUUCCACCAUAAACUUCGAUAAUUCUUAAAAUUGCAACAUGUACUUUCAGAUUCAUCCUUAAAAAUAUGUUUCCAAUUGAACCGGUCAUUAAACCGAGAUUAACCACAAAUCCGCGUUUACUGUACCGCGAUUGUGAUUUACCCAACUAAUCCCACACCCGUUAAGAAACGACGUCGUUUUGUCUUUGUUUUAUAAUGUGAAUCUAUCUAUAUAUGUUAUGUGUUGUGUUAAUUGGUAAGGAAAAUGACAAAUCGAACUAGAUAAAACUCCUAAUCAUAAGGAUAGAUAAGACUCCAAAUCAAUCAGUCAACCUAAAUAAUAUCAUCUUAAAGAGAAUCAUUUUCCGAAAAUACAUCAUCCAAGAUAGACAAAAAAGGUUGAAGAUUGUUCCAAUGACAAUCUAAAUCAAUAAAGAACUAGAACUACUCUCAUUGAUCACAUAGAUUGCUUUUUUGUGUGAGUGGGAUUAGUCGGGUAAAUCACAAUAGCGGUAUAAUAAACGCGGAUUUGUGGUUAAUCUCGAUUUAAUGACCGGUUCAAUUGGAAUCAUAUUUUUAAGGAUGAAUCUGAAAGUACAUGUUGCAAUUUUAAGAAUUAUCAAAGUUUAUGGUAGAAAUUUCAGGAAUAAAAAGUGUGGGGGAGAAAGCUGAGAAUGCAAUUAGUUUAUGGCUAUAAAAUCAGUCAACCCUUUUCUUAACGGAUAUAGGUGAUUAAUCGGGUAAAUCGCAAUCGCGGUACAGUAAACGCGAAUUUGUGGUUAAUUCCGGUUUAAUGACCGAUUCAAUUGGAAAUGUAUGUUUAAGGAUGAAUCCAAAAGUACAUGUUGUAAUUUAAAGAAUUAUCAAAGUUUAUGGUGGAAAUUUAAGAGGCAAAAAGUGUGGGGGGAAAAGCUGAGAAUGCAUUUAGUUUAUGGCUAUAAAAUCAGCCUACCCUUGAAUGUUUGAAGUCCUAAAACGGUAUUGGCGGGAACUUAUGGUUUUUCAA
rnacentral:sRNA from 1 species